rnacentral:rRNA from 1 species
UACGUAGGGGGCAAGCGUUGUCCGGAAUCAUUGGGCGUAAAGCGCGUGUAGGCGGUCCGGUAAGUCCGCUGUGAAAGUCGGGGGCUCAACCCUCGGAUGCCGGUGGAUACUGUCGGGCUUGAGUACGGAAGAGGCGAGUGGAAUUCCUGGUGUAGCGGUGAAAUGCGCAGAUAUCAGGAGGAACACCAAUGGCGAAGGCAGCACUCUGGGACGUGACUGACGCUGAGACGCGAAAGCGUGGGGAGCGAACAGG